CGGUCAGUUGAACAUUUUCCAUGCUGUGAUCAAGUUGUCUUUUCCUCUGAGCGCCGAGCGCUGUGAAACGCCUUGGACGAGGAGCAAAAUAAUAAAUACGCAUUCGAAGGAAACUCAAGCCAACAAAAUCUCACGUUGCCCCAAAAGCAAAUAAGCAAACAACAACAACAAAAAUUAAUGGCCGAGCAUCAAGUGCAGUGCGUUUGAAUCUCAACGGCAAACAAUUUGUGAAACGACGGACUGACUUACAUGCAUUUUAUUAGUACAUAAUAUAAAAUAAAAACAAACAAAA